CGAAACGUGUCCACAUCUCUGAUAUCUCACUGCUUCCAGUUGUGUCUCUACAAAGGAAUCAAAGGGAACGAGUCCAGCGCGGCACCAGCAACACUCCUGAAGAUCAUAUUGAAUAUGCCUCUGUGAAAUGGGUGGGAAGCUCUGCGCAUCCACCACCCCAGAGAGAAGAGACAUCGACAUACGCGACCAUCGCUUUGCAGAGGGACAGAUGUCAUUAAUGCUCCACUUGCUGAAAUGCAGGACUCGUCAGUGUGCAGCUGCAUCACAGAACCUCCAAAG